rnacentral:rRNA from 1 species
GUGUCAGCAGCCGCGGUAAAACCAGCACCUCAAGUGGUCAGGAUGAUUAUUGGGCCUAAAGCAUCCGUAGCCGGCUCUGUAAGUUUUCGGUUAAAUCUGUACGCUUAACGUACAGGCUGCCGGGAAUACUGCAGAGCUAGGGAGUGGGAGAGGUAGACGGUACUCGGGAGGAAGUGGUAAAAUGCUUUGAUCUCUCGAUGACCACCUGUGGCGAAGGCGGUCUACCAGAACACGUCCGACGGUGAGGGAUGAAAGCUGGGGGAGCAAACCGGAUUAGAUACCCGGGUAGUCCCAGCUGUAAACUAUGCAAACUCAGUGAUGCAUUGGCUUGUGGCCAAUGCAGUGUUGCAGGGAAGCCGUUAAGUUUGCCGCCUGGGAAGUACGUACGCAAGUAUGAAACUUAAAGGAAUUGGCGGGGGAGCACCACAAGGGGUGAAGCCUGCGGUUCAAUUGGAGUCAACGCCAGAAAUCUUACCCGGAGAGACAGCAGAAUGAAGGUCAAGCUGAAGACUUUACCAGACAAGCUGAGAGGUGGUGCAUGGCCGUCGCCAGCUCGUGCCGUGAGAUGUCCUGUUAAGUCAGGUAACGAGCGAGAUCCCUGCCUCUAGUUGCCACCAUUACUCUCAGGAGUAGUGGGGCGAAUUAGCGGGACCGCCGCAGUUAAUGCGGAGGAAGGAAGGGGCCACGGCAGGUCAGUAUGCCCCGAAACUCUGGGGCCACACGCGGGCUGCAAUGGUAAUGACAACGGGUCCCGAAUCCGAAAGGAAGAGGUAAUCCUCAAACAUUACCACAGUUAUGACUGAGGGCUGCAACUCGCCCUCACGAAUAUGGAAUCCCUAGUAACUGCGUGUCAUUAUCGCGCGGUGAAUACGUCCCUGCUCCUUGCACACACCGCCCGUC